rnacentral:rRNA from 1 species
AGCGAACGCUGGCGGCAGGCCUAACACAUGCAAGUCGAACGAACCUUUCGGGGUUAGUGGCGGACGGGUGAGUAACACGUGGGAACGUGCCUUUAGGUUCGGAAUAACUCAGGUAAACUUGUGCUAAUACCGAAUGUGCCCUUCGGGGGAAAGAUUUAUCGCCUUUAGAGCGGCCCGCGUCUGAUUAGCUAGUUGGUUGAGGUAAUGGCUCACCAAGGCGACGAUCAGUAGCUGGUCUGAGAGGAUGAUCAGCCACAUUGGGACUGAGACACGGCCCAAACUCCGACGGGAGGCAGCAGUGGGGAAUAUUGCGCAAUGGGCGAAAGCCUGACGCAGCCAUGCCGCGUGAAUGAUGAAGGUCUUAGGAUUGUAAAAUUCUUUCACCGGGGACGAUAAUGACGGUACCCGGAGAAGAAGCCCCGGCUAACUUCGUG